rnacentral:misc_RNA from 1 species
GAUGAAGAACGCAGCGAAAUGCGAUAAGUAAUGUGAAUUGCAGAAUUCAGUGAAUCAUCGAAUCUUUGAACGCACAUUGCGCCCGCCAGUAUUCUGGCGGGCAUGCCUGUUCGAGCGUCAUUACAACCCUCAGGCCCCCGGGCCUGGCGUUGGGGAUCGGCGGAGCCCCCCGUGGGCACACGCCGUCACCCAAAUGCAGUGGCGGUCCCGCCGCAGCUUCCAUCGCGUAGUAGCUAACACCUCGCGACUGGAGAGCGGCGCGGCCACGCCGUAAAACACCCAACUCUUCUGAAGUUGACCUCGAAUCAGGUAGGAAUACCCGCUGAACUUAAGCAUAUCAAUAAGCGGAGGA